rnacentral:rRNA from 1 species
AUGGCGUCCAUGAUGGGAGGAGACUUCGUGGAGGCCUACGUGCUCAAGAACGCCUACAAGGAGAAGAUGAAGCGCAUGGACCAAGUGGAAGCUGCGAGCGGCAAGGACAAGGAGGCUGCCGGCGCCGCUGGAGAGAAGAAGGCUGCUGGUGGUGGUGGUGCGAGCAGCAGGGGAGGCUUCUUUGGCCUCAUGAAGAAGAAGGUGCACCCCAAACCCAAAGCGGCGGCGGCGCCCACUUCCUCUUGA